rnacentral:rRNA from 1 species
GGACCCGACUGCUAUCAAAGUGGGACUAACCCAUGCGAGUCAACAUAGCAAUAUGUGGCAUACGGCUCAGUAACACGUAGUCAACAUGCCCAGGGGACGUGGAUAACCUCGGGAAACUGAGGAUAAACCGCGAUAGGUCAUCACUUCUGGAAUGGGUAAUGACUUAAAUCUAUAUGGCCCCUGGAUUGGACUGCGGCCGAUCAGGCUGUUGGUGAGGUAAUGGCCCACCAAACCUGUAACCGGUACGGGCUCUGAGAGGAGGAGCCCGGAGAUGGGCACUGAGACAAGGGCCUAGGCCCUAUGGGGCGCAGCAGGCGCGAAACCUCUGCAAUAGGCGAAAGCUUGACAGGGUUACUCUGAGUGAUUUCCGUUAAGGAGAUCUUUUGGCACCUCUAAAAAUGGUGCAAAAUAAGGGGUGGGCAAGUCUGGUGU